GUUCCUGUAGCGAAAUGGUUUGCGCGCGUUGGACUCCUAAUCCAAAGGUCGUGGGUUCGAAUCCCACCUGGGAUG